rnacentral:tRNA from 1 species
GGGGCUGUGGCUCAGGGUGGAGCGCUUGCCUAGCAUGUGUGAGGCACUGAGUUCAAUCCUCAGCACUACCU